CUUUUUUUUUCUUAAUUGACAUUCAGAUCACUGUAAGACACUGGAAAGGUGGUAAUAGCAGAUGGUCAGUGGGCGAUGUGUGAUGGGAAUCUGAAAAACUUUUGCCACUCCACUGAAGGAUAAGGGCAGAGCAAUGAUCAGCAAGGUGUAAGGCAACUGGAUAUUGUCACAAAAAUCCUCCACAGAGAAAACAUAAAAGGAUGCCACCCCUGCACUCUGCUAGCAAGCUAUGCUGAACUAGCAGGUGUUUCUCCUAAGGACCACGGAGCAGCUGACCCCCUCCAGGUAGCUCAUAAGAG